rnacentral:misc_RNA from 1 species
AACAUUUACGGUAUCUUGACUUGUAUCGCACUGGUAUCCAUAGAUUGCCUAACUCGUUGAGUAACCUUUGGAACUUACAGACAUUGAAGUUACGCGGGUGUUAUAACCUCACUGAGUUGCAUGCAGGCAUUGGCAAUUUAAGCAACUUGAUGCACAUUGAUCUCAUUGGUACAGAUAGGUUGGUAAAGAUGCCACGGGAGAUGGCCAAUUUGACAAAUCUCCAAACGUUGUCUAAGUUUAUAGUGGGAAAAGGCUAUGGACUUGGAAUAAAAGAGUUGAUGAAAUUUCCUAAUCUAGGAGGGCAGCUUCAAAUUAAGGGGCUACAAAAUGUGGUGAACAUUCAAGAUGCAGAGCUUGCUGAUCUAAAGAAGAAGGAGGGUCUUGAUGAAUUGGCAAUGGGAUGGACUGAGAACUUGCAUGAUGUACGAAGUGAUGAGGAUCAACUACUGGUACUCAGCUUUCUACAACCUCAUC